rnacentral:lncRNA from 1 species
AAUGGGCAAACGAUGAAGAAACAGACAGGGAAUAGCUUCGGCCACAUUUCCAGCAUGGGAGAAGCAUACAUCUAGAAAUAGGAGGCUGGCUGGCUGGAGAGAGCUGCUGCAUGCAAGUGCUGUCUUGAGGGAUGAUUCACCCAAAGGCUACCUGGAGGGCUUGUUGAAGUAAACACGUGGGACUUUUCCCGGUGGAAGGAAAGACAGAGAGACAUUCUGACAAGGGAGGCAUGUGCUAACUCUGGCUGUCUGCAACAGCAGUAUGAUCUCCAGCACCAAGAGAGAUACCUCUAUUGACACAGAUGCCUGCAAGGCCAGAUAACAAUUUAUAUGUGAACAAAAGGGAGUGUACAUCAGGUAGAAGAGGAGAGAGCUUUAUAGAAGAAUAACACUUUUAAAAGGUAACUGCUUUGGCCUGAAGAGAUGGCUGAGUAACUGACACAAUGGCUGCUAUUCCAGAGGGCUCCAGAUUCAAUUCCCAGCACUGACAUGGAAGUUCAGACCUCUAUAGAUACUGCACGGACAUAUAUGGGGGCCAAGCAAUACACUCAUGCAUAUAAAAUAAAAAUAAAGAGAAAAAAAUCUCUGUCUUAGGAAAAUAAAACAAAUGUUCUACUA